ensembl:snoRNA small nucleolar RNA SNORA15
GCAUGGCCGAAUUCUGUAUUACUUUUGAAAUAGUACAUGCAGUCAGACACCGUGCUAGAUUAUUGUUUUCACGCAUUGACUUCAAAAGAAGAAUGAAGUACUUUCUUUGCCUCAUUCGUAUGUCAGUGUGAACACAGAC